GUGCCUUUAGCUCAGCAGGAUAGAGCAACUGCCUUCUAAGCAGUAGGUCAGGGGUUCGAAUCCCUUAAGGCACGCCA
rnacentral:tRNA from 1 species